rnacentral:rRNA from 1 species
ACACGCUCCCACCCCCCCUCGUGGGGAGCAGGACGCGGCCUAUGGCUCCCCGUGCCUUUGGGCGCGGUUGGCCGAAGAUCGGGCUGCCGGCGUAUCGUGCCGGGCACAGCGCGUGGUGGGCGAUCUCGCUUUACUCAGCGCAGCGCUGCGGGUGCGUAGCCGGUGUAAUGGCCUCCAAGGACCCCCAAAAACGGAGUGCGCGUCGCUCCGACCGCGACCCCAGGUCAGGCGGGACUACCCGCUGAGUUUAAGCAUAUAAAUAAGCGGAGGAGAAGAAACUUACAAGGAUUCCCCUAGUAACGGCGAGCGAACCGGGAGCAGCCCAGCUUGAGAAUCGGGCGGCCGUGCCGUCCGA